rnacentral:rRNA from 1 species
CAGCAGCCACGGUAAUACGGAGGGUGCAAGCGUUAAUCGGAAUUACUGGGCGUAAAGCGCACGCUGGCGGUCUGACAAGUCAGAUGUGAAAUCCCCGGGCUUAACCUGGGAACUGCAUUUGAAACUGUCAGGCUGGAGUCUUGUAGAGGGGGGUGGAAUUCCAGGUGUAGCGGUGAAAUGCGUAGAGAUCUGGAGGAAUACCGGUGGCGAAGGCGGCCCCCUGGACAAAGACUGACGCUCAGGUGCGAAAGCGUGGGGAGCAAACAGGAUUAGAUACCCCGGUAGUCCCUGUCUCUUAUAC